AUACAGAUGACAUGCACUCUAUCCAGUUUAGUUACUGCUUUUAUAAUAUCACCUAAAAAUAAAAAGCAGAUGAUUUCAGAACUGGUGUCUUAUACAACAUUGGCUAAGACUGCCAUGCCAGAUCCAGAGCUGUCAGGAGCGACUGAACUGCAAAAGAGUAAUUCCAAGGAAAUUGUAAGUUUUAAAGAACUGAGAUGAUAAAAAUAAAAACCAGAUUUGCAAUCUAAAUACAACUUGAAAUUAUAAACUUGCCACAUAAUUUAAAUUUGUGAGGCUUUGUGUUUAUAUUUGGCAUCCUCUUAUGUAAUUUUUGUAAAAUAGGCAAAAUAUAUUAAUCAGUUAAAUCAUGAUACAGUCUUCUAGUCUGGAAUUUUAAUUUGAAACAGAAAUUUUGUAUAUUGAAUGUAAUUUAUAGAUUAUAUUUCAGACUAAAAAGUGUUGCCUAGCCACUGCAUAGACACACACAUUUUAAUAUUUCUAAAUAUAUACUACAAAUUGACGGCAUUAUAAAGUGCAAAAGGAUGCCAAUACAGGGUGGGGCAAAAGUAGGUUUACAGUUGUUCAUAUGGAAAAUAAUACAAUAGUUAAUAAAUAAUAAUAUAAGAAUAAACUGUUUUGCAUACUCACAAAUGUAACUACUUUUGUACACCCCUGUAUAUUGGAUAUAACACAAUCGAGUGCUACCUUUAAAUAAAAAUGACACCCAAAUCAAUGAGAUGCAAAAUGAGUACUGAUAGAGAGACCUAAUGUUAAUUACUUUUAAUACAAUUAGAUAUGACAAUUGAAAAGUUUAACACUUAAGUAUAUUGUUUUUUAAAACUGUAGGAUAAUUGCAUGGUUUUGGGAAAAAAAGAGCAAUUUUGAAAUACUGACCUAUCAUCAUCUAAAUACUAUACUAUUUCAUAAGAGUAGCAUAAUGCAGUUUUCAAUAUCUUGAUAUCAAAUUGCCCAGUGUUCCCUUUGAUAUCUUAGUUUCUCUAAGUAAUGUCAUAGGAGUUGAAAUCUACUACGGUCAGAGUAUAUCUCAAUGACAUUAAAUUGAGAUAUUAUCUCUAUUUAGUCAUCGUCUAUGUUCCUUCUUUUCUUCCAGUCAAAUAAAAUGAAAAUAUUAACUUUAGGACACAUGAUAUCUUUAGAUCUUCAGAAAGACAGCACUAUUAUCAGGAAGUGUUGAUACAUUUUGGCUCACCCCCAUAUAAUAAAAGAAUAAAGAAGACUGAUAUUUCAUACACCAUACAUGUAGCAUAUAAAAAUAUCAUUUAAAAAGUAUCAAUUUUAUUAGUACCUUUUACAGAAGUACUAUACUUCGAAAAUGUCUCUGGCACUGGGGGAUAGGGGUAAUAU